AUUGAACGCUGGCGGCUGCUUUACACAUGCAAGUCGAACGGCAGCGCGGGCUUCGGCCUGGCGGCGAGUGGCGAAUGGGUGAGUAAUGCAUCGGAACGUGCCCAGUAGUGGGGGAUAGGCCGGCGAAAGCCGGAUUAAUACCGCAUACGACCCGAGGGUGAAAGCGGGGGACCGAAAGGCCCCGCGCUAUUGGAGCGGCCGAUGUCGGAUUAGCUAGUUGGUGGGGUAAAGGCUUACCAAGGCGACGAUCCGUAGCUGGUCUGAGAGGACGACCAGCCACACUGGGACUGAGACACGGCCCAGACUCCUACGGGAGGCAGCAGUGGGGAAUUUUGGACAAUGGGGGCAACCCUGAUCCAGCCAUGCCGCGUGCGGGAAGAAGGCCUUCGGGUUGUAAACCGCUUUUGUUCGGGAAGAAAUCCUCUGGGCUAAUACCCCGGGGGGAUGACGGUACCGGAAGAAUAAGCACCGGCUAACUACGUG
rnacentral:rRNA from 1 species